AGUAACUGCGAGUGAAGCGGGAAAAGCUCAAAUUUAAAAUCUGGUGGUCUUUGGCCAUCCGAGUUGUAAUUUAGAGAAGCGUCUUCCGCGCUGGACCGUGCACAAGUCUCCUGGAAUGGAGCGUCAUAGAGGGUGAGAAUCCCGUCUUUGGCAUGGAUCCCAGGGCUUUUGUGAUGCGCUCUCGACGAGUCGAGUUGUUUGGGAAUGCAGCUCAAAAUGGGUGGUGAACUCCAUCUAAAGCUAAAUAUUGGCGAGAGACCGAUAGCGAACAAGUACCGUGAGGGAAAGAUGAAAAGCACUUUGGAAAGAGAGUGAAACAGUACGUGAAAUUGUUGAAAGGGAAACGCUUGAAGUCAGUCGCGUUGACCGAGACUCAACCUUGCUUUGGCUUGGUGUAUUUCUCGGCUGACGGGUCAGCAUCAAUUUUGACCCUCAGAUAAUGGCAAGGGAAAGGUGGCACCUUUUAGGUGUGUUAUAGUCCCAUGUCGCAUGUGAGGGUUGGGAUUGAGGAACUCAGCAUGCACCUCUGGGUGUCGGGGCUUCGGCCCACGUUACAUGCUUAGGAUGCUGGCGUAAUGGCUUUAAACGACCCGUCUUGAAACACGGACCAAGGAGUCUAACAUACCCGCGAGUGUUCGGGUGGAAAACCCGUGCGCGUAAUGAAAGUAAAAGUUGGGACCUCUGUCGUGGAGGGCACCGACGCCCGGACCAGACCUUCUGUGACGGCUCUGCGGUAGAGCGUGUAUGUUGGGACCCGAAAGAUGGUGAACUAUGCCUGAAUAGGGUGAAGCCAGAGGAAACUCUGGUGGAGGCUCGUAGCGAUUCUGACGUGCAAAUCGAUCGUCAAAUUUGGGUAUAGGGGCGAAAGACUAAUCGAACCAUCUAGUAGCUGGUUCCUGCCGAA
rnacentral:rRNA from 1 species